CCUACGGGGCGCAGCAGUGAGGAAUAUUGGUCAAUGGGCGGGAGCCUGAACCAGCCAAGUCGCGUGAAGGAAGAAGGUACUUAGUAUUGUAAACUUCUUUUGUCGGGGAACAAAGGCGGCGACGCGUCUCCGGAUGAGUGUACCCGAAGAACAAGCAUCGGCUAACCCCGUGCCAGCAGCCGCGGUAAUACGGAGGAUGCGAGCGUUAUCCGGAUUUAUUGGGGUUAAGGGGUGCUCGGGCGGAAGAUCAAGUCAGAGGUAAAAUGUCGGGCCUCAACCUCGGCCGGCCGUUGAAACUGGUUUUCUAGAGUUGGGGAGAGGUAUGCGGAAUGCGUGGUGUAGCGGUGAAAUGCAUAGAUAUCACGAAGAACUCCGAUUGCGAAGGCAGCAUACCGGCUCCAAACUGACGCUGAGGCACGAAAGCGUGGGGAUCGAACAGGAUUAGAUACCCGAGUAGUC
rnacentral:rRNA from 1 species